rnacentral:lncRNA from 1 species
UCAGGGGGGAGCAGAUCUACUAACCCUAAGAUUCUCUGACCUCUCACCCUCUAUCCUCAACAGGGCACUAGGAUCCCCCUCUCCCCACUGCAGUGCUGGCCUGUGAGUUGAACUUUCCACAAUUGCCCAAACCUCUCCUAUAUGACAAGGAGCCCUCAGCCAUUCUGGCCACAGCACCCAGUCCCUCUCCUUAGGAAGCAGGUACAAUCCGUCUAACACAGCCUUGCAGGAGGGUGAGUGGGCGUGGGUGUGCGUGUGCAUCUCUGUAUGUGGGGGUCUGUUUCUGCGUGUGUAUCUCUGUGUCUCUGCACCUGUGUGUGUCCCUGUAUCUGUGCACACGCCCUCUCAGCAGCAGCGUCUGGUGAUGAAGCAGUUGGGGCUGGUGCUUCUGCUGGGAGUGGCGGCAGCUCCCUUCCACAGCUCAGAGCCCUCUUGGCCCCCUGGCUCCCCACAUCCCAGGGGCCUGCACACCUGGUUUCUGGCUUCUGAGCCCUCCUAAGCUGAGGCUGCUUUCCCUUAAUUAUUUCCUGCCUGAGUCCUGGAGCAGCAUCUUUAACUAUUUACUGCACAGAGUGCAGGCUGAGGCGGCAGAGCUGGGAGCCGCAGAGGCCACUCGAGCGGGCUGAGGUCCUGGAGCAGAGUGGAAGGACCACAGAGUCCACAUUUGGGACCUGCCUCCUGUCUGGUAUGAGCUGUGUGACUUUGGGGCCCUCCUUGAGCUUCAGUAUCAUCGUCUUUAAAAUGGGGACAUUAAUAACUAUGUCAUGGGUUGUUAUGAGGAAAUGAGAGUUCAGAGCCCAUGGUCUCAUCGGGGAGAUCAAAUCAUCAAAUUAUAACACAACGUGCAGUGAGGGCCAAACUGUUAAUAAUAAUCAUAAGCGACUUUUACUGAGGGUUUCCUCAGCGUCACACACUGGGCUAAGCACAUUACAAGCCCUCACUUGAUCCCCGCAUCGACCCCAUGAGUUGGCCUCUAUUAUUUCUCUGUUUUACAGAUGAUGCCACCAAGACCCUGAUAUGUGAGAUGACUUGCCCAAGGUCCCACAGCCAGUAAUUUGAAUGCAGGCAGUCAAACCAAGGAGGAAGCAGGGAGCAGCUGUGCCUGGAUGGGCGAGGGUGGAGGACUGCACAGGUCAGGGAGCUCGUUCUGGCUCCUGCCAGGGGAGUCGGGUGAGAGCAAAGGUCCAGAGACUGUGGGGUAGGGGUGGCCCCGCGUCCCAGUGGGGUGGGCUGUGGCUCCUCAUCAGGAGAGACUGGUUGUGGUCCUGAGCAUCCCUCGUUGCUGAGGGUAAUAAACCUGCCUCUUUACCCCCUCCAAAGAGGCUGUUUUGUUACUCCUCGGUUCUCCCAGCACCAUAGCGCUAAUAAGCCCCAUCUUUAUGGCCAACAGCAGACACAUUGAGCUGGUUAGGGAUGCUCCCUCGCCUGGUGUUUGCCCUAAGAGGAGGCCUGGGCCCUAUUCUUACUCCUCUGUAGCGGAGCUGAGCGCCUUCUUUCUUUUUUAAUAGUUCCACUCCAGGAGCCGAGUCCCCUAGUCUCUUUUCCAAUCUUUGGUUACAACACUUUAUUAAUUCUACAGCCAUGCAGUGUGUGAAAGGUCUCCUGGUUCCUGGGAGUGUUGGCUGUGAUGACAUCAUCCUAGAAGUCACUGACUGGAUUGGCAAUGGGGCUGAUGCUGAGUGCCUGGCACGCUAUGUGCUGGGCACUGGGCUACACAACGGACACUGAAUACUUUCCAUAGACAACCCUGCACGAUGCAUGACCUUGGGCAAGUUACUUGACCUUUGUGGGCCUCAGUUGCCUUGUCAGUAAAUUGGGGAUAAUAAUAGGACUCACUUCCCAGGAAUAAAUGACUUUCUCCAAGUAAAGCAACUUAAAGUAUUGAUAUCUCCACAGACCAAGCCCUAUAGAGGCGAUGGGGAUAAGGCUUGGGGGCUAGAGAUCCUGCCCAGGUUUUAGCCACGAUUUAAAUCCAGGCCUCUCUGGCUCCUAAACUCAUCCUUAUUUCACCACAUUUUGUUGGCAUCCAAUCCAAGGUCUUCCUUCUCUGGGAAAGGCAAAACCCAGCCCGGAGGGGUGCAAAGCAAAGGCAAAACUCAGCCCGGAGCCACUUCCCCAAGA